CCUCUCCCCACCCACUGGGGUUAGCCCUCCCACCUGGGAGCCGCUCAGCUCCUUCUGUGGCUCCUGGCAGGUUCUGCUUCUCCCACGGGCUUUCUGACUAGGUGCUAGGGCUCAUGGCCACCAGUGUAUGCCUCAGUCUCCUCCUCUGUGAAAUGGAGGAGGAGCUCUUCACCCACCUCAUAGGGCUGUUGUGAAGGUCAAAUGUGUUAACCUGAGGAACACACCAAGAACACGGCCAUAGUGAGUGUUCGGUGAGCGCCAUUAAUACAAGGUGUUGGAAGGGCACUCCCCCUGGCGGUGCAUUCACCUGGAUCUACCCCUCUGCGUCCGGCAAGGUGGUCUUGACAUCUGGCUGACAUCUGGCGGGGCUGGCCUCCUGCUUCCUGUAAGAGCCUCCCCAGGAACCGCCAGUACACCCCCAGCUAGGAACCAGCCAUCCCUUUCUUCCUCCCACGGAGCACAUGUUUAGGUGGCUGAGGGCCUGAGCACCGUGCUCAGGAGUCCUGGCUCCCAUUCAGAUCCCACCUGCCUGGAGGCUUGUGGGAACACAUCCUCCCAAGUCCAGAUGGCCCAGCAGCGUCCUGUUUCGGCCCCUUGGAGCUCUGAAGACUGAGAGAGGGGACUGGAGCCGGGGCGACCUUCCUGGAUCCCGGAGAGGCGGCUUCACCUGGCUGGAGAAGCAUCUCCUGGUGACCCACUGAAGAGGAAUCAGGAAUUCUCCAGAAAGAUAACAGAUGCUGGCCUCCUCAUCCCCGCAGUCUGCUGGCCACGGGACUGCUGCACGGGCUGUGACUGCCAGCGAGGCCUGGAGACCCGGCAGCUGUGGACUGCCCAGUGCCGAACAGCCCCUUUGGUGAGUUGGUGGAGCCCUCCCUCGCCUUUGCCUUCCCCAGGAUGGGUCACUGAGCUGGCCUCUCUCGGCUGGGGGGGAGGCGGGGGGGCAACUUCCAGAUGCUCAGGUUGGCCCCUACCCCGGGACCCCAGCUCACCCCCCCUUUCCCUGCCCUCCCAUUCCCCGCAUUUCUUCUGUUCCUUGAGAUGCCCCUUCUCUUCCACCCUUCUCUUCUCUCUGCCCGGCCUGGGUUCUCUGGGGCCACUGAGGAAUCACAGUGGGGUCCCCGAGCUCACCCUGUGGGCUGAAGGGGGUGAGGGCCUAAGGGUGGAGGCCCUUGAGGACUGGCUGGGGGAGGGGUGCUGGAGGAACAGUUCAUCCAGCUAAACCAGUUCACUCACGUGCCCCAUGACCAGGACCCCUUUCUCAGUAGUUGUGUCUGACUCUGCGACCCCACAGACUGUGGAGCCCACCAGGCUCCUCUGUCCAUGGGAUUCUAUAGGCAAGAAUACUGGAGUGGGUUGCCAUUUCCUUCUCCAGGGGAUCUUCCCCACCCAGGGACUGAACCUGUGUCUCUUGAGUCUCCUGCACUGGCAGGCGGAUUCUCUACCAAUAGCGCCACCUGGGGGCCACCCCCUUCCUUAGGGGCCAGGAGCAAAUCCUAGAGGCCACUGGGGCCUGGGAAGGGGUGUUUCUCAGCAGCCGCUGGACCCUGUCUGCUCUGGGCCACCUGCCUCUGAGGGAGUCCAUGAGCCCCGGGAGUCCUCCACUGGAAUAAGCUGGUCACCUGCAUCUGUAAAUUGGGUGGGGGGAGCAGGAAGGGCUUGACGCCAUUGUCCACCUUCCCCAGCCUGGUGGCCAGAGGUUGCUAGCAGCCCACCCACUCAAGGCGUGCAAGGGUUCUUUUUGCACGGGGCCUUGGGUCAGGGGGCGGCAUCUGACACGGACCCUUCUUCCUCCUGGGGGUGGGCAGAAGACAGAGGAAAGAGGACCACAUGGGGAAGUGGGUGCCAGCUCAUGGGAGUGGAAGAAGAUGCAGGUGGCCCAGGAGAUGCCAGCAGGGGUGGAUAGGCAGAGACAGGGGAAUGGCUUGAGGUGGGUGGGAACUGGUCAUUCCCCAGGUAUGGGAGUUGAGGGAGUUAGGGUCUUGCCCGGUCAGGCCCCACUAAGGU
rnacentral:lncRNA from 1 species